AGUGAACGCUGGCGGCAGGCCUAAUACAUGCAAGUCGAACGGAAACACAGUAAGAGUUCGCUCUUACGGGUGGCGAGUGGCGGACGGGUGAGGCAUACAUAGCAUUCCAAUAUUUCGUGGGGGACUUCGUAGAGACAGUUCCGAUAACAGCGAAUAUGAUCAACGGGUGAAAGCAGGAGAUAUUGGCACUUUGCCCGUUUCAUUGAGCCGAUGUCGGAUUAGCUAGUUGGCGGGGUAAGGGCACACCAAGGCGACGAUCCGUAGCUGAUCUGAGAGGAUGAUCAGCCACACUGGAACUGAGACACGGUCCAGACUCCUACGGGAGGCAGCAGUAGGGAAUAUUGGACAAUGGGCGCAAGCCUGAUGCAGCCAUGCCGCGUGAGUGAAGAAGGCCUUCGGAUUGUAAAGCCCUUUUAUUAGGGAAGAAAAGCUGCAUAUUAAUACCCGGCUGUUCUGACGGUACCCAAAGAGAAAGCACCGGCUAACUACGUG
rnacentral:rRNA from 1 species